CCUUGAAGUAGUAGUUCCCCUUGCUCUGCAUUAGCCGUGGCUUUUGUGGAGAGAUGGGUAACGACGCUUUGAGGGUGACUGUUGUUUAUGUGUGCAGAGGGUCCCUGGUUCGCUCCCUGGUAUGGGCGAGGGGACGGUUUAAAAUUAUACUGUUACAGCAGCACAGCAACAAUUUUCAAAAAGUUGAGGACAAGCGAGAGUGAGGACUGCAAUGGAACUUAUCCCAGAGGCUGCUCCAAGUCGCUGCUGGCGGAGUAGAGGUAUUCGGAGUGGACUUCUAGUCCAACUCAGGAGGUGGUCACACCAUCCGCCGCUUCCGAGUAUAUUACUCACCAAUGUUCAGUUUCUGGACAAUAAAGUAUAUAGAGCUCAGGGUGAGGAUCUCCUUCCAGAGAGACAUCAGGGACUGUAACAUACUCUGUUUCAAGGAAUCAUGUCUCUCUGUAUAUACUGUCCCCGACCAUAUCAGUACAUUGUGCAAACAGGAAUAAAGAACUCUCUGGGAAGAAGAAGAAAGGCUCGGGUGUAUGCUUCAUGAUUAACUACACAUGGUGUGAAUAUGAUAACAUACAGAAACUCAAGUCCUUUUGUUCACCAGACCUAGAAUACCUCACAAUCAAAUGCAGACCGUAUUACCUUCCAAUAAUUUUUGGGGGGGGGUUAUUGUCACAGCUGUAUAUAUUCCCCCUCAGGCCGAUACCAUGACGGCCCUCAAGGAACUACACUGGGCUUUAUGCAAACUGGAAACCACAUAGCCUGAGGCAACAUUUAUUGUAGCUGGGGAUUAUAACAAAGCAAAUUUGAGGAAAAGCUACAGAUGUUCAAUCAGCACAUUGACUGUAGUAUUCUCUUAGGAAAAACACUAGAUCCCUGCUACUCGCCUUUUUUUAGAAAUGCGUACAUGGCCAUCCCCGCCGUCCUUUUGGUAAAUCAGAUCACGACUCCAUUUUGCUCCUCCCUUCCUAUAGGCAGAAACUCGAACAGGAAGUACCCGUGCUAAGGUCUAUUCGUCGGUCUACCUAUCGGAAUCCAUGCUUCAAGAUUGUUUUGAUCACAUGGACUGGAAUAUGUUCCAGGUAGCCUCUGAGAAUAACAUUGACGCUUACACGGACACUGUGACUGAGUUCAUCAAGAAGUGUAUAGGGGAUGUUGCUCCCACAGUGACUACAGUGGCAAGAAAAAUUAUGUGAACCAUUUGGAAUUACAUGGAUUUCUGCCUUAAAUUGGUCAUAAAAUUUGAUCUGAUCUUCAUCUAAGUCACAACAAUAGACCAACACAGUCUGCUUAAACUAAUAAAACACAAAUAAUUA